rnacentral:rRNA from 1 species
AUGGCUGGAAUAAUGGUGAGCGCUUCUACCGGGGUGAUGAACUCUCUCCUCGGUAAGCUGGCCACCCUGAUGGGGGAGGAGUUCGCCAAGCUAAAGAACUUGAGGAAGGAGGUUAAGUACAUCAGCGACGAGCUGAGCAGCAUGAAGGAUGCUCUAGAGAGCCUUGCAGAUGUUGAUGAGCUGGAUAAACAGACCGCGAGGUGGAGGGAUGCAGUCAGGGAGAUGUCAUAUGACAUCGAGGAUAUUAUUGAUGACUUCAUCUGCAAAAUUGGGGAGAAAAGCAAAAAAUCUGGGUUUGUCCAUGACACCAUUCAACGCCUUAGAACUUCAAGGGUCCGCCAUAAGAUUGCUGGUCAGAUUGAGGACAUCAAGAAACUUGUGCAUGAAACAAGUGCACGCCGUGAAAGAUACAAGCUUGAUGUCCCCACAUCAUGCAAUGUGGCUGUUGACCAACGGGUUGUCGCACUCUAUGAGAAUGCAGCUAAACUUUUUGGUAUGGAGGGCCCAACAAAUGAGGUUGUCAGUUGGCUAAAAGAUGAGGAGAAGCAGUUGAAGGUUGUAUCAAUUGUUGGUUUUGGAGGUUUGGGUAAAACAACACUCGCCAAUGAGGUCUACCAUAAGCUGAAGGGAGAGUUUCAUUGUGGUGCAUUUGUGCCAGUUUCUCAAAAGCCAAAUAUUCCUAAACUUCUGCAUAGUUUAUUAAUCCAACUUGGGUGUGGACAAUCUUUUCAAGAUUGCGAGUUAAAUGUUCUUCUCGACCAACUCAGAGAAAAUCUGAAAAACAAGAGGUACUUGGUUAUCAUCGAUGAUCUAUGGGAUGUAUCAGCAAUUCAGCAUGGAAUAUUAUUAAGUGUGCUUUCCCAGAAAAUAAUGUUGGUAGUAGACUAA